AGUCACUGACAUUAGAUACCCGUGUAGUCCAGGGUGUAAACGCUGCAGACUUGGUGUUGGGAACCCUUCGGGGGUGCUCAGUGCCGGAGAGAAGUUGUUAAGUCUGCUACUUGGGGAGUACGUCCGCAAGGAUGAAACUUAAAGGAAUUGGCGGGGGAACACCGCAACGGGAGGAGCGUGCGGUUUAAUUGGAUUCAACGCCGAAAAACUCACCAGCAGCGACUGUUACAUGAAAGUCAGGUUGAUGACCUUACUAGAUUUUCAG
rnacentral:rRNA from 1 species